rnacentral:rRNA from 1 species
AUGUCCUACGGGACGCAGCAGUAGGGAAUCUUCGGCAAUGGACGAAAGUCUGACCGAGCAACGCCGCGUGAGUGAAGAAGGUUUUCGGAUCGUAAAACUCUGGUGGUAGAGAAGAACGUUGGUGAGAGUGGGAAGCUCAUCAAGUGACGGUAACUGCCCAGAAAGGGACGGCUAACUACGUGGCAGCAGCCGCGGGAAUACGUAGGUCCCGAGCGUUGUCCGGAUUUAUUGGGCGUAAAGCGAGCGCAGGAGGUUUAUUAAGUCUGGUGUA